AGGGAAUUUUCCACAAUGGACGCAAGUCUGAUGGAGCAACGCCGCGUGAACGAUGAAGGUCUUCGGAUUGUAAAGUUCUGUUGUUAGGGACGAAACCGUACCGUUCGAACAGGGCGGUACCUUGACGGUACCUAAUUAGAAAGCCACGGCUAACUACGUGCCAGCAGCCGCGGUAAUACGUAGGUGGCAAGCGUUGUCCGGAAUUAUUGGGCGUAAAGCGCGCGCAGGCGGCUAUGUAAGUCUGAUGUUAAAGCCCGAGGCUCAACCUCGGUUCGCAUUGGAAACUGUGUAGCUUGAGUGCAGAAGAGGAAAGCGGUAUUCCACGUGUAGCGGUGAAAUGCGUAGAGAUGUGGAGGAACACCAGUGGCGAAGGCGGCUUUCUGGUCUGUAACUGACGCUGAGGCGCGAAAGCGUGGGGAGCAAAC
rnacentral:rRNA from 1 species